rnacentral:rRNA from 1 species
CCUACGGGUGGCAGCAGUGGGGAAUAUUGGUCAAUGGGCGCGAGCCUGACCCAGCCACGCCGCGUGAAGGAAGAAGGCUUUCGGGUUGUUAACUUCUUUUCUCAGGGACGAAACAAGUGACGGUACCUGAGGAAUAAGCCACGGCUAACUACGGGCCAGCAGCCGCGGUAAUACGUAGGUGGCAAGCGUUAUCCGGAUUUACUGGGUGUACAGGGCGUGUAGGCGGGACUGCAAGUCAGAUGUGAAAACCACGGGCUCAACCUGUGGCCUGCAUUUGAAACUGUAGUUCUUGAGUACUGGAGAGGCAGACGGAAUUCGUAGUGUAGCGGUGAAAUGCGUAGAUAUUAGGAGGAACACCGGUGGCGAAGGCGGUCUGCUGGACAGCAACUGACGCUGAGGCGCGAAAGCGUGGGGAGCAAACAGGAUUAGAUACCCCAGUAGUC